rnacentral:rRNA from 1 species
AUGAACGCUAGCUACAGGCUUAACACAUGCAAGUCGAGGGGCAGCAUGGUCUUAGCUUGCUAAGACUGAUGGCGACCGGCGCACGGGUGAGUAACACGUAUCCAACCUGCCGUCUACUCUUGGACAGCCUUCUGAAAGGAAGAUUAAUACAAGAUGGCAUCAUGAGUCCGCAUGUUCACAUGAUUAAAGGUAUUCCGGUAGACGAUGGGGAUGCGUUCCAUUAGAUAGUAGGCGGGGUAACGGCCCACCUAGUCUUCGAUGGAUAGGGGUUCUGAGAGGAAGGUCCCCCACAUUGGAACUGAGACACGGUCCAAACUCCUACGGGAGGCAGCAGUGAGGAAUAUUGGUCAAUGGGCGAGAGCCUGAACCAGCCAAGUAGCGUGAAGGAUGACUGCCCUAUGGGUUGUAAACUUCUUUUAUAAAGGAAUAAAGUCGGGUAUGCAUACCCGUUUGCAUGUACUUUAUGAAUAAGGAUCGGCUAACUCCGUGCCAGCAGCCGCGGUAAUACGGAGGAUCCGAGCGUUAUCCGGAUUUAUUGGGUUUAAAGGGAGCGUAGAUGGAUGUUUAAGUCAGUUGUGAAAGUUUACGGCUCAACCGUAAAAUUGCAGUUGAUACUGGAUAUCUUGAGUGCAGUUGAGGCAGGCGGAAUUCGUGGUGUAGCGGUGAAAUGCUUAGAUAUCACGAAGAACUCCGAUUGCGAAGGCAGCCUGCUAAGCUGCAACUGACAUUGAGGCUCGAAAGUGUGGGUAUCAAACAGGAUUAGAUACCCUGGUAGUCCACACGGUAAACGAUGAAUACUCGCUGUUUGCGAUAUACGGCAAGCGGCCAAGCGAAAGCGUUAAGUAUUCCACCUGGGGAGUACGCCGGCAACGGUGAAACUCAAAGGAAUUGACGGGGGCCCGCACAAGCGGAGGAACAUGUGGUUUAAUUCGAUGAUACGCGAGGAACCUUACCCGGGCUUAAAUUGCAGAUGAAUUACGGUGAAAGCCGUAAGCCGCAAGGCAUCUGUGAAGGUGCUGCAUGGUUGUCGUCAGCUCGUGCCGUGAGGUGUCGGCUUAAGUGCCAUAACGAGCGCAACCCUUGUUGUCAGUUACUAACAGGUUCCGCUGAGGACUCUGACAAGACUGCCAUCGUAAGAUGUGAGGAAGGUGGGGAUGACGUCAAAUCAGCACGGCCCUUACGUCCGGGGCUACACACGUGUUACAAUGGGGGGGUACAGAGGGCCGCUACCACGCGAGUGGAUGCCAAUCCCAAAAACCUCUCUCAGUUCGGACUGGAGUCUGCAACCCGACUCCACGAAGCUGGAUUCGCUAGUAAUCGCGCAUCAGCCACGGCGCGGUGAAUACGUUCCCGGGCCUUGUACACACCGCCCGUCAAGCCAUGGGAGCCGGGGGUACCUGAAGUGCGUAACCGCGAGGAGCGCCCUAGGGUAAAACUGGUGACUGGGGCU